ensembl:lncRNA
AGGGACAGGUAACACACCUCCCACAGGUAGGAAGAAGCUAGGGACAGGUAAGACACACCUCCCACAGGUAGGAAGAAGCUAGGGACAGGUAAGACACACCUCCAUAGGCAAGACACCUCCACAGGUAGGAAGAAGCUAGGGACAGGUAAGACGCACCUCCACAGCUAGGAAGAGACUAGGGACAGGUAAGACACACCUCCACAGUUAGGAGGAGGCUAGGGACAGGUAAGACACACCUCCACAGGUAGGAGUAGGCUAGGGACAGGUAAGACACACCUCCACAGCUAGGAAGAGGCUAGGGACAGGUAAGACACUUCAGCACAGGUAGGAGGAGGCUAGGGACAGGUAAGACACAUCAGCACAGGUAGGAGGAGGCUAGGGACAGGUAAGACACAUCUUCACAGGUAGCAGGAAGCUAGGGAAAGGUAAGACACACCUCCACAGGUAGGAGAAGACUAGGGAAAGGUAAAACACACUUCCACAGGUAGGAGGAGGCUAUGGACAGUUCAGACACACCUCCACAGGUAGGAGAGGACUAGGGAAAGGUAAAACACACUUGUUUCACUUUAUGUUUCACUUCAUGUGACUUCAGGUGACCUGUCUGUGUUGCUCGGGGCUGGUGCUGCUGGAAUGGGUCUCCUCGCGGUCCUAGCGCUAACCUACAGGAGAAUGCAUGUCAAGUGGCCAUGGAAUUUAAAUCCGGAGGACACACCAGAAGUCAUAGUAACAUACUGGAACAAUUGUGUGGCCAACGAGGCAACAACAGAGGAAACCACAGCAGAACAUGGAGGGAAGGUGGAACCAAUCAUUGUAGAACCCUAGAGGAACAGAAAUACAGAACACAGGAUGGACUGGAGAUGUCUAUUUUCAAUUGUCUUUUGUUUUAAACCAGUGUUAUCUUCAUGUCACACGACUUAGGCACUAGCUAUGUCACUCCCUGCUACCAACACACAACCCCUAGCACAAUGUCCUAGUGGACCUUAAAACCUAGUAGUCAAUAGAAUUUUCAAAGCCAAGUGGUUUGAUUUUAUUUCUGUGAAUGAACUUCACACAUAUUCCUUAAACACACAUCUGUGACACACUGCAACACCGAAUAAUAAGAUACACUGUACAUAUAAGCUAUAUUUAGUUAUAAAAUGUCAUUGGAUUGUUUAGAUAAGAAUAAUUAUUAUUAUUAAUAAAGAACAAAAAUGUCAUCUAUAAAAUAUGUAAACUUUUUGUGAAUUACAGGUUUGUUUACAUACAAAUAUAAACAUAUUGUUAUUAUUGUUGUUAUUGUUGUUGUUAUUAUUAUUAUUAUUAAGAUCUGUCUGGCCUACCUUAUAUCCAUCUCUGGCAACUGAUUCUAAUUUUUAUCUAUUAAAUAUAUUCCUAUUGAAUGCUCUCUAAGAAAUGUACCAUUGCUCAUCAGAUCUUAAUUUGUAAAAAAAAAUAAAAAAUAAUUCCUUUUAUCUGUAACCUGUUGUUUCUAUCCCUUAAUUUGUGUUGGACUCCCCUAGAACCCUCAAAUGAAUCUCUGAACCUGCUGUUUAAUUUGUGUUGGACUCCCCUAGAACCCUCAAAUGAAUCUCUGAAGCUGCUGUUUAAUUUGUGUUGGACUCCCCUAGAACCCUCAAAUGAAUCUCUGAACCUGCUGUUUAAUUUGUGUUGGACUCCCCUAGAACCCUCAAAUGAAUCUCUGAACCUGCUGUUUAAUUUGUGUUGGACUCCCCUAGAACCCUCAAAUUAAUCUCUGAACCUGCUGUUUAAUUUGUGUUGGACUCCUCUAGAACCCUCAAAAUCAUCUCUAGACCUGCUAUUUUUUCAUUCUCCCCCUGUAAUCAGGAAUGUAUAUAAACCUGGGCCACCAGGUGGGAGUUAAUGAUCAGGUAGAACAGAAAAUCAUCUGGCUCCGGACCUCGUAGGGUAGGAUUUGAAUAUCCCAUGCCCUUGCACAGGGGUAGGCAACCAACCCCGUUCCUGGAGAGCCGUAGGUACUGUACUACAGCAUGUUGUCCCAACUAGGCACCUCGUCUAACCAACUGAGAUAAUGAAUCAGUCCAGUGAGCCUAAAUUCAAUACACCUGGUGUUCUUCCAGGUCGGUUAAAGGAAAAAACAUGAAGUGCCUGCAGCCCUCUAGGGUUGCCUAGCCCUGCCCUAGCGUCUCUGUGCUCCCCUUUGCUCCUGUAACAACUGUAGUAUUGCCACAGUAGUCUAUGAAAUAACACAUGUAGAAAAGCGUUUAUUCUCCUAACAUUCCUCUCGGGGAGAAGUCUAUCUUGUGUACGAAAUUGUUUGGUCUAUUUUUCUAUUUGUAUGUUUAAUACCUAAACAUGGCAAAUAAAAAUAUAUAUUUAAUCAGAAUACAAAUGAGUAAUUACCACCACCUACUCAUUAUCUUUGUGUGUGUGUGUGUGUGUGUGUGUGUGUAUUUCGUAUCUAUUGAAUUUCACCAGAGAGGUUGGCGGAGGCUAAUUAUACUAUCUACCAAAAUCAGUUGACUUUCAACGUGAUCAAAGCAACAACUCUGGUUUCUAUGGUUACCACCCCGGAUAGACUGACAGGACAAACAUAUAUUGAACUAAAAUAUAAACGCAACAUGCAACCAUUUCAAAGAUCUUAUUGCGUUACAGUUCAUAGAAGAAGAAAAAAUCUGUCAUUUGAAAGAAAUUAAUCUUGGCCUCAUCUGUGGAUUUCACAUGAC